rnacentral:rRNA from 1 species
GUGCCAGCAGCCGCGGUAAUACGUAGGUGGCAAGCGUUAUCCGGAAUUAUUGGGCGUAAAGGGAGCGCAGGCGGUUUAUUAAGUUUAUGGUGAAAGUUCGGGGCUCAACCCCGUGAUGCCAUAGAAACUGGUAGACUUGAGUACAGGAGAGGUUAGUGGAAUUCCAUGUGUAGCGGUAAAAUGCGUAGAUAUAUGGAGGAACACCAGUGGCGAAGGCGGCUAACUGGCCUGUAACUGACGCUGAGGCUCGAAAGCGUGGGGAGCAAAUAGGAUUAGAUACCCUAGUAGUCC